rnacentral:rRNA from 1 species
GAUGAACGCUGGCGGCGUGCUUAACACAUGCAAGUCGAACGGAAAGGCCCAAGCUUGCUUGGGUACUCGAGUGGCGAACGGGUGAGUAACACGUGGGUGAUCUGCCCUGCACUUCGGGAUAAGCCUGGGAAACUGGGUCUAAUACCGGAUAGGACCACAUUUUGGAUGGUGUGGUGGAAAGUUUUUCGGUGUGGGAUCAGCUCGCGGCCUAUCAGCUUGUUGGUGGGGUAAUGGCCUACCAAGGCGUCGACGGGUAGCCGGCCUGAGAGGGUGUACGGCCACAUUGGGACUGAGAUACGGCCCAGACUCCUACGGGAGGCAGCAGUGGGGAAUAUUGCACAAUGGGCGCAAGCCUGAGGCAGCGACGCCGCGUGGGGGAUGACGGCCUUCGGGUUGUAAACUCCUUUCGCUAGGGACGAAGCGUUUUUGUGACGGUACCUGGAGAAGAAGCACCGGCUAACUACGUG